CGAAGGGGGCUAGCGUUGUUCGGAAUUACUGGGCGUAAAGCGCGCGCAGGCGGUCUUCCAAGUCAGUGGUGAAAGCCCGGAGCUCAACUCCGGAACUGCCAUUGAAACUGUAAGACUUGAGGAUGAGAGAGGUGAGUGGAAUUCCCAGUGUAGAGGUGAAAUUCGUAGAUAUUGGGAAGAACACCGGUGGCGAAGGCGGCUCACUGGCUCAUUACUGACGCUCAGGCGCGACAGCGUGGGGAUCAAACAGGAUUAGAUACCCUGGUAGUCCACGCCGUAAACGAUGAAUGCUAGCCGUUGGGCAGCUUGCUGUUCAGUGGCGCAGCUAACGCAUUAAGCAUUCCGCCUGGGGAGUACGGCCGCAAGGUUG
rnacentral:rRNA from 1 species